AUUCUAAUCAUGAAACGCAAUUUUUCAUAUAAAUACGGAUUAUUUGAAAAUGUAUAAUCGCUCACCUGAGUUCAUGACUUAAAAAAGGUGUGUGAUACAACACAAUAACAAACGAUUCAACAGUUUUAUUUAAAAUUUUCUCUCCAAGAUUUGUCAUCGAACCUGCAGACCUCCAGACCUCCACAGCUUUUAUUACCUCCUCGUUUUUACGAUCUUUUAAACUUUUUUUGAGUUGACAAAAGAGAUGAUAGUCGGACGGAGCUAAAUCUGGUGAAUAAGGGGGGUGUUUUAGUAAUUCAAACCCUAAAUCACGAAUUUUUUGCAUGGCAACAUAAGAUUUGUAUGUAGGGGCGUUGUCCCGCAAAAACAAAACACCUUUGGAUAGAUUUCCACGUCUUUUUUCUUUAAUUUUUUCCGUAGAGUGCAGAUAUUUGGACACGAAACUUCUUAGAUCUUGGAGAACCAGAGUGUCGCCAUUCCGUCGAUUGUUGCUUUGUUUCUGGAUCGUAGAAAUUUACCCAAGUGUCAUCCAUAGUAACAAUUCGGUUUAAGAAGUCUACAUCGUUUUCAAAUCGAGCACAGAUCGAACGCGAUAAUUCUACACUUGCAACAUUCAAACAUUUUGGGAUCCAUUUUGCAGCAAUUUUUCUCAUGUCUAAAUUGACGUGAACUAUAUGAUGAUCGCGUUAGUAUGAAAUAUUCAGUGCUUCAGAUAUCCGUUUUAGCCCAAAUCGGUUCGAUAAAAUUAUGUCAUGAACUGCAUCGAUAUUUUCGGGAACUGACACAGAUAGUGGCCUUCCCGAUCGGUUAUCAUCUUCAAUAGAAAAUUUACCUCUUUUGAAGCUUGCAGUCCAAUUUUUCACGGUCGCAUAUGAAGGACAUUUAUCACCAAGGGUAUUAAACAUAUCUUCGAGAAUCUGCUUACCUCUCAACCCUUUCAAAUACAGAUUACUUGAUGAUGGCUCGAUACUCCAAUUUUUCGAUUUUCACAAUUUCGGUGGAAAUCUUCUUUCUUUUAAUUUAUUGCGUAACUAUGGUUUACUUUUUUGACGUCAAAUGUUACAAUGACACUUCUGAUAAGUAUUUCUGAUAAGCACUACACUUUUCCUGAUAGCUAUUAAGACAUACUAGAUCCCUACUCGCCACUUGUCAAAGGUAGACUAUAUGCUGAUGACUUUGUUAAAGGAAUGAACUUGACAUCCAUCAAAACUAUUUACAGCAAACCAUCAGUAAACUAGAGGGGAGGAGAGCUGACCAAAAUACAUUAUUACACACAUAAAUAUUUAGUAAGAUCUAAACUAAACAAUUUCAAAUUUUUUCUUUACAAAUAUACAAACGUCUCCACCGUG